GACGAACGCUGGCGGCGUGCUUAACACAUGCAAGUCGAACGGAAAGGCCCUGCUUUUGUGGGGUGCUCGAGUGGCGAACGGGUGAGUAACACGUGAGUAACCUGCCCUUGACUUUGGGAUAACUUCAGGAAACUGGGGCUAAUACCGGAUAGGAGCUCCUGCUGCAUGGUGGGGGUUGGAAAGUUUCGGCGGUGGGGGAUGGACUCGCGGCUUAUCAGCUUGUUGGUGGGGUAGUGGCUUACCAAGGCUUUGACGGGUAGCCGGCCUGAGAGGGUGACCGGCCACAUUGGGACUGAGAUACGGCCCAGACUCCUACGGGAGGCAGCGGGGGGGAAUAUUGCACAAUGGGCGGAAGCCUGAUGCAGCAACGCCGCGUGCGGGAUGACGGCCUUCGGGUUGUAAACCGCUUUCGCCUGUGACGAAGCGUGAGUGACGGUAAUGGGUAAAGAAGCACCGGCUAACUACGUG
rnacentral:rRNA from 1 species